UUGCAAUGUAGAACUUCUCUUCUGUGAGAGCCCCAGAAGUUCCUCCUUUGAUAAUUAGUCUCCUGCUUUAAUUGAAGCCUUUAAGAACUCAGUAUAAGCUCCUAACACUUAUGGAGGUGCUGAGCCUGAGCUUCCUGAGUUUCCUAUCACUCCUGCUGCAGGUGAAACUUUGAGAUGCUUCCAUGGUGUUAUCAAAUUACCUUGGGGCAGAAGCUCUCAAACUCCUGCCUGCAGAAUCACCUGGAGGGAGGGUUAAGACAGUGUUGAGCUCUUCCUCAAGAGUGUCUGUUCAGUAAGGCUGGGGUAGAGGCUGAGGAUUUGCAAGUUGAACAGCUCCCAAGAGAUGCGCUGCUGCUGGAAUUGGGACUUCUGAGGUCCUCUGUCUCAAGGAGCUGUCCUCAAGUAGCAAAGAAGUUCCUCAUGAGGCAGAGGAGAACCAAGAAGAAAUGAUGGGUUAAAAGUGAAAUGAAUGAAAAGUAAAGACUUUCAAGAAAGGAGUCAUUACCUCUGUCAUGUGCUGCUGAUAUGACUUGGCUGAGCUCCAUGAAAAACAUUGUGACCUCAAUACAAACUCUCUGUGUGGUUGAUGUGAGUCCAAAGACAACAGGGAGAGAAGUGGAGUCGCCAAUGAAGACAACUUUUUGAAGCAGACCGUGAGCCUCCUCACCUCCAUGCCUGAGAUGAAUGACUCCAUCUGGACUGGAGUGCUUCAGACAGCUGGGGAGCCUCCGUAUCCCAAAGGAACUGAGAUUUCAUUUUCCUUGGCCGCAUUCUGAUGCUGGCUCCACUGAAGCAACUCUGCCGUUCCAGAUUUUUCUGCUCAAGGACUCAGUGCACUUUAGAAAGCUGGAGGCCCCUAGAAGAUGUCCAAUUGCUUCUGUGCUAAGCUGCACUUCAGCUAUCAUCACAUCAUCACAUGGUUGUCAGGCCGUUGAUCUGAAGCAGUGUUUUCCUACUUUCAAUCCAUGCCACUCAGAGAGAGUAUGCAGUGGUCCCAGAAGAGCGCAGCUGCAGACCCAAACCUCUUUCUUGGGAUCGAACUCUGGACCUUGUGCUUGCGAGGCAGGCAGCGGAACCACUGAGCUAAAUCCCCAGCCCUCAUUCAUCUUUUAAAAAGUCACUUUCAAUUGCCAUCACUUGAAUGAAGAUUUUUGGAUCAUGCCAAGCAAGCGGGGUCUUUUUCUUCUUCGAAAACUUAUAGCUAGAUAAAACUUGCAAAUUUUUUGAGAAUGAAUAUGAGGACAAUUGGUAAUUACAUUGAGACUACGGUGGUCGUAAACCGGAACUGUCCUGUGCAAAAAGAACAUCCUGUUAUCCAGGUUAUCGCCUUUUGAGAGCCUAACAAUCCUAUGGACUUUGAAUCCAAGUCUGUCUGUUUCCAAAUUGUUUUUCUGUAUAGCUUAUGGAAAAUUAUUGUGUUGUUUACCAUUCAUUCAUUCUCUUGACAGUUGUUCAUUGAGCAACUGUCAGAUGUUGUGCAAAAUGUGG
rnacentral:lncRNA from 1 species